rnacentral:rRNA from 1 species
UACGUAGGGUGCAAGCGUUGUCCGGAAUUAUUGGGCGUAAAGAGCUCGUAGGCGGUCUGUCGCGUCUGCUGUGAAAACUCAGGGCUUAACCCUGAGCUUGCAGUGGGUACGGGCAGACUAGAGUGCGGUAGGGGAGACUGGAAUUCCUGGUGUAGCGGUGAAAUGCGCAGAUAUCAGGAGGAACACCGGUGGCCGAAGGCGGGUCUCUGGGGACCGUAACUGACGC